rnacentral:lncRNA from 1 species
ACUAAGCCAUAUCAUUAAAAAACGGGGACAAAAAAAAUUGAAUAUUCAAACGUGCGAGGGAUUGGAGUCAUCACGUUGUUUUAGCCAACGCGCCACGGUUGACUCUUAUCCAUGACCAACUCCUCCCUAUAAAUACUCCCCAAAAUUAGUUUCGUCGCCACUCAAUCCAUACAAAAAAAUUUCACAUUUCUCUCUCCCUCCCAAUCCCAACAUCCCACAACAAAUUAACACAAAACAUUCCGUUAUGUGCAGCGACGCCGAUCACGGCGGCGCCACCGCGCUCGCCGCCAUCCACCCCGACAUCAUCCAGUCGCACAUCCUGAACCGGCUGGACGGCCCCACCCUGGCCUCCACCAGCUGCGCCUCCGCGCAGUUCCUCUCCCUCUGCGCCGAGGACCUCCUCUGGCGCCAAAUCUGCAACGCCACGUGGCCCUCCACCGCCCACCCCACCGUCCGCGCCGCCAUCUCCGCCUUCCCCUCCGCCCACCGCUCCUUCUACUCCGACUCCUUCCCCGCCGUCGCCCGCCAGGGCGCCUCCCCCCUCCGCCGCGCGCCGCCGCAGACGGAGGGGCUGAUCUCCGCCGUGGACGUCUACUGCGACGACAAAUUGAUCUACUCGCGCGUGAAGGAGACGGAGACGCGCUCCGGGUGGUUCCAGAGCUCCCCCUUCAGGAUCGACCUGGUGGACCCCAAGGAGGCCGUGGCGGCGCCCCUCCGAUUCGACGGCGAGGACGGCGCGUGCAUGGAACUCGCCAGGGAGCGCCUCCGCCUGAGCUGGAUCCUCAUCGACCCCGCCAAGGGGCGCGCGGUCAACGUCGCCAGCGCCGCCGCCGUGGAGGCGCGGCGCCACUGGCUGACGGAGGACAUACAGCUCCGCUACGCCACGGUGGUGGACGCCGGGAACGGGGAGCUGGUGCAGUGCGCCGCCGUGGUGACCUGUGGCGGGAAGGACGGCGGCGAGCUGCAGGUGAGGGAGAUCAGCAUGCAGGUGGAGGACAUGGAGGGGAAGAUCCUCACCGGGUCCCACAGCCUGGGGAUUCUGGACGCCGCCAUGGAAGGCCGGAGGCUGAAGAGCCACGUCGGGAUGCAGAGGGAGGCGUACCAGAUGUUCCUGAGGAUGAAGAUACAGUCUAGAGAGAGAAAGCAGAGGAGAGAGAGGAGCUUGGACAUGGUGUGCAUAGCUGCCGGAGUCGCUAUUUUUGUCGCCAUUUGGACAUUUCUCUUGUCCAGAUAAUUAUUUAUUUUAAUUUUUUUGGAGUUGUGUAAAAAGAAAAGAAAACUGAAAUACAGUUAAAAUAGGUAAAAAGGGUGUGAAAGUGAAAACCUAGAAAAAUUAAUAGAGAAUUCAGAAAAGUCGAUAAUAUUAUUUUAUUCAUUUUCGGAUGUGAAGAUAAGCUUGAUGAAAGAAACCCAUCAACUAAGAUCAUUGGUGCGGUCAGAGAUCAUUAAUUCAAUGUUUAUUAGUAUAUAUUGUAUUAAUUCCUCAAGUCAGAUAUCAAAUUAAUGUUGAUAUCUGAAAAGGAUUUAUGCCAAACCCUAUAGUUACAAAAUCAUAAUCGCUAUUAAUUUUCUCUGUUAAUUGCCUACUAAUCACUUUAAUUAUCUAUAACCAUUGUAUAAAUAAACUUUGAGAUUUAGGUUCGGUAUACAUCUCUUCCUGGCCAGUUCAUGAAAUAUACUUGCAUUGCAUCGUCGUUUCUUUUAUGAGGCUAGCUUUGAUUACAUAUUAAUUAAUUUGGUUUUCAAUUAAUACACCUAUAAACAUACUAACAUAGGGUGGUACUAGUUGUGGUUAUCUGGUAUUGUAAAAUUUUGACUCGUAUGGUUUGGCUAGACCCAAUUAAUGACGCCAUGACUAAAUAUUUAUUCUAUAUAUAAUUUACAUGAUCACUUUUCUAGAAAUUUGGAUUAAAAUAAGAGGUAUAUAAAACUACAUGGAUAUAUUAAAUGGAAAAUUACAAUUUAUUUUGAAAAAUAUUCUUAAUUUACGUUUUUUUUUUUUAUAAACUUUCAACUUUCACUAUAUUGUGAUAAAUGUCCCAAAAUCAAGAAUCUCAUAGAAUAAUGAGUGAUUUCAUCGAAAUUUUAUGUGGAUUGCAUGAUUUUUAUUUUCUACCUAAGUAUAGAAGUGAGUAUUAUAUAUAUCCUAAACUUUGACUUUUUUUUUUUGAGAAUAGACUAAAUACAAUUUUUUUUUCCAGAUUGGAUCAAAAAUCGCUACUGUAGAAGGAAAGAAGAACAUUGGUGUUAUAGUGGUGUUCCGCUGCAGUGCUUGGUGGUGGCCGCGCGUGGUAGUGUCUGCAGCGGUUACUACCGUCGAAGAAGAAAGGCGGCAUCAUGGAUUUUUUCAAAGAAAUCAUUUUCUUAGAAAUUAUAGUUAUAUUUUGUUAGUCACUUAAAAUUAAUUAUUUGAUUUUUGAGAUAUAAAAUUAUAUACUAUUUAAUUAAAAAUAUAAUUUAAACGUAUAUUUAAUUUUUACGGUAUACCCGAAACGUAUUAGGAUGUGUUCUCUUUGAUUGUAAAUUUAUCAUGGGAAAAUGAGGGAUAAACAAAAUUUCACUCUUUAAAUCCUUCCUUUAUUUUUCUUCAUUUCCUUUCAAAAUAAAAUUUGACCCUUACUCAUUCAUCCUCUUCACUGCUUUAUCAUUUUAUUUUUGGUGUGAUAAUAUUAUCUCUUAUUUGUAGUAAAAAGGAGGAAUGAGUAAGUAUCAAAUUUUAUUUCGUAUGAAAUGAAGGAAAAUAAAGAAAGGAUUUAAAAGGUGAAAGUUUGUUUAUUCCUUAUUUUUUUACGAUAAAUUUAUAAUUAAAGAAAACGCAGACUUGCUGGUUAUAAUAUAAAGAAAUUAAAAGGGCACCAAACUUGUCAAAAAUGGAAUGCUUUGAUCAAGCAUCUCAGAGAGCUGACUGGAGUUAAGGCAGGCCAUAUGAUGUCAAAGUUUCACCCUACUGUUUCCUAAUUUAUUUUCAUAUACUAUAAUUUAUUAGUCGGAUAUGGAUUUAUGAGCUAGAAUUAUAUUCUUUAAUUAAUUCGGAUAUGGAUUUGUGAGCUAGAAUAAUAUUCUUAUUAGUUGGGUACUAUCAGUCAUGCAUGAAGUACACAUAAAUAGUUGGCUACACAUGACGCAAGCCACUCCAUUAAAUGUGAUUUUAGUUUUCUUUUAAAUACAAAGAAAAACUAUUACUCUACUAUUUGAUUUUUCUCUAUUACCAACCAUAUGGCAAUAUUUUAUUUGGGAGAAAUAGUGACAAAUGUAAGUAUAUUUUUUAUUUCGUGAGAGUACUUCCACAACCACAACUGAUAUAUAUACCUUUAACGUUAACCUGCAAACUACAUAGGACAAAUAAAUUACUUUGAUUUUUAGAUCAACAUAUAUAUAUAUGAGAGGGUUAAAAUAAGUACAUUUUUUAAGAUAUAAAAUAAGCAUCAUUUUCAGCUUUAGAUCAUCAAAAUCUACGGUUGAUUCAUGAAUUUAUAGUUCUGAGUUCGAAUCCCAAAGGUAGUAAAAAUUUAUUUUUCGCAAUUCAUACCUUUAUAUAGCGAAUUCAUACAUAUUUUACAUAAAAUUCAUACAUUUUUCUAUAUAUUCCCUCUGUUUUUUUAUAAAUGUCCCAUGGAAAAAAAGUACGUAUACCAAGGAAGUUGGAGUAUUACUUUUGUGCUCAUAUUUAUUAUUUUCAAAGUGUAAUAAAUUUAUUCUCAAAUUUUGAAAUAGGACACUUAAAAAAGGGUAAAGUAGGAACUUUGUUAUUUUUUAUUCUCAAAUUUUGAAAUAGGAUACUUAAAAAGGAACAAUAAAUUUAUCUUAAUAUGACACUUAAAAAAACAAAGGGAGUAUAUAAUACUCCAUAAUUGUAAGAAUAUUAUUGAACGUACAUAAAUAGAAAAAGUGACACAUUUUUCAAUAACGAAACUCGUAAGAAGAACUAAUACUAUUAAUUACAAGCGGUAUCAUACUUCAAGUAGAACUAAUUUGAAGUUACUUCAUACUUUAGCAAUUUUGAUAUCGAAUUACUUAUUAUGCAAUGCUAUGUUGUAGUAACAUACUAACAUAUAAUCUUUUAAUUCUCGAAGAUUCAUUGGAUCACUUACUGCCAAACAGAUAGGCAAGCCCCAUGAACUUAGGAUUGUUUAGAUGAAAUCGGUGAAACCUAAUUUGAUAGACAUGGUUUAGUUUGUGUCACACACAUUAGCCUAAUUAAAAACAUUAGCUAUGACUCAUUCAGUUGAGUAGAACAACAUCUAACAUAAUUUCGGCGAUGUUCGGGUAAUUAAAAUAGGCAAAAGUCAUUAAAUUACAUACCAAUGCAAUAGGCAAUAUAUACCCCUUUCCGAUAAACAAAUUAAUUAGGGCCGGUAAUCACCAUGUACGAAGUUUAGGUAGUUUUUGGAUUAUGCAUGAAUUAAAAUUAGCCUCAAAAUGCAUGAACCUUACUGUGUUUAACUUGCACGUGAAUUUUAAAAUCUGUUCCAUAUAUACGAACUUUUUUAACUCUUUUUCUCACAAAAUCUAAGAGCACUCACAUUGAUCGACUCGAAUCAGCCCAAGCUAUGAGUCGACCGAUGCAUGCUGGUGGAGCUCGAGUCUCAACCCGAUGAGAUGAGCUCGGCUCAUCGCCUUUUAAAGGCGAGCGCGUGUCCUACACACACUGAAUAAAAAAAAUGUUAUUUAUUUUGAAUUCCAAAGGCUAUCGCCGAUUUUAAUUAUUAUUUUUAUUUGGUUUUGUUUUUGUUUUCUUUACUUUGUACUCCCUCCGCCC